rnacentral:lncRNA from 1 species
UUCCAGGCUCAACUCAAACAUUACCUCAUCCCUCCAUGAAGUAUUCCAGAUGUUCACAGAAAGAAAUUUCGUUCUUUAUAGGUUUGAGGAACAGCAUUUGUUUUCAUGACAGAAUCGAACUCUGUUUCAGAGUUCAGAGACAUACUCACUUAUCCGGAAUUGACAGCAAAAGGAAGGAAUUCCAGAGAUACUUAACAUCUCAUGGAUGAUUAAUUUAUCAACUGAUGGGGUAAGAUAAAAAACACUAUUGAGACAUCUUGUGUUUCAGUAAGUGGGAGGGUAGGAUAAUAGAUGUUUAGCACCCUACAACCUUGCCAGAAUGAAGACACUGCCAAGCCUACAUAGAAGGAGCAAGAGAGAUGCAUUGGAAUAACCAGGCUUAAACAGAACAAAAUGGGACACAGUGGGCAGGAACUGGGUUAAUAUGAUCUCACUGCAUGAGGAAACCGUCACUUAAAGUUACCCUAAGACACUUUGGAUGAACAUAAAAACAUGAUCUUUAUGUUUUAUCUCCAGCUCAGGAUGAACAGACUGGAGAAAGAGCAUGGAUUAGCUUCAGCAUCUCUAGGAAAUCAAAUCUUUGGAGGACUGGACUAUGUAGGGUGAUGCUAUGGCCUAAGACACUCUUUUCAGCCCACUGUCUAUUUUUCCAGCAGGCCUUUCUUUCUGCAAUAGAGCAAAAAAAAUUCCUUAGCUAUGAUCAAUGUCUAUUUUGGACAAAGGCUCUGAGAAUGGCAAUCACAUCUUACUACAAAUGAAAGCCUUUGUGUGGAUCUCCCUAGGAAGUUAGGAAUUUUAUACUCAUCUCUAUAAAAACUACUACUUUUAUGUAAGUGUGUAUUUCUCAUAGUGACUAGUACAUGCCUGAGCAUAUAGGGAUCUUUACACAAAGUACACUCAUUGAAGUACAAAUGAACUCUGUAGGCUCAGCUAGGUUCAGGUGACCAGUCACUGUCUAGUGAAUAAGGGGGUAAAACUGGAAGACUAUGGAUGAGAAAAUCAAACAUUUAUGUGAUGUGAAUACUUUCUUCCUUUAUCAAAAGACUGCCAACAUUCAGCAGGCAAGAAUACAAGAACUCUUAAAGUGAUGGGGCCUUCCUUUUGGCCAAGAACUAAGACUAUCUAAGAAACCAAACCACCUGUCCAAAUUUGGGUACAUUAGCCUACGUCUUCUGUGCCUUAGGGCUUAAUAAUAAUUUUUACCUGUCCUACUGACAAGAAAGACAGAUUUUUAAAAAUAUAGGAAAUAGACUAACUAUGAUAUCUGAUUCAAAUCUAACCAUGUCUAAAACAAGCCACAUAAAAUUCAUAUAUAAAUCAAAUGUAUAUAUCCUUAAUCUUGAUAUGCGAUAGAUCCAUCUCACUUGUAGUUGGCAGAAUUCAUAGAUGGACCCACAUUCCUACUCCAUUGGAUAGUCCUCUUCCCCUCUACAGGCAGAACCUGUGAAUAUGAUGAGAUAGUUACUCCUUUGAUUAGGUUAUGUUAUAUUUGACAAGUGGUGAUGGGAUAGUCACUUCUAUUAUUAUUUUACAUGAUGUAAGACUUCCUUAUAGCAGACUGGAGUGGAAUUAAGAAGUCAGAGAGAUGCACUCCUGCUGCCUGGAUGAAAGCAAAUAGGUUUGUGUAAACUGCCAUGGAGCCAUGAGGGAAGGAAUGGAGGUCACCUCUAGG